ensembl:lncRNA
AUGCAUUAUGUCACAUCAUGUGACGUGUGUAUUUUAGUUUGCAAAACCCACUUAUUUCAACUCAAGGUAAAUGGUACCUUCUGCUCUAAAGGCCGUCUUCUCCUGGUUUCAGUACGGCAUCAAGAAGAAGGAGGAGAAGGAAGCCGAGGCAGCGGCCGCCAUGGAGCAGGCCUCCGAGGGCAGCCUCACUCGCCCCAAGAAGGCCGUGCCCACCGGCUGCGGCGACGAGGAGGAGGAGGAAAGCAUCGUGGACACGGUCAUGAAGUUUAUCCCGACCCCGCUCAUGGAUAUGUUCAACAAAAACUGCCUGCUUCUGCCCCCCAACACGUACGAUCCUCUGCGGAUCCGGAUUUCCAGGCUUCGAGAACGUUGACUGGUGAGAUAUUUUCAAGCCAUUUCCUCUGAGCUCGUGUUCCGUCAGAUGAGAGACGGAGAGAAUGAAAUCAUAGACAAAAGCCCGGCUUCCUUCUGGGCUUUCCAAAUGAAAGAGACCUCCAUCUUCACUUCAAGGGCCGAGCGAGAGGAGGCGGAUGAAAGAGCAGCUGGGUUUUACUGAGGCAUCUGAACUCUGCGCUCUCUCGCCAUGCGGGAUAUCGGCCGCAGGAACUGAUGUAACAUUUAGGGUUUGCUCGCAAAGCACACGCACCUGUGCAGGUAAAUCAGCGAGUUUACAAGUUUGCUGAAGGUUGGUAGGAGGUGGGCGGUGAACUGAGCUGAGUUUUAGGUCCCUCCUUUGCCUUUAAAAAAUAUCUGCUGCUUUUUAUGUCAAAAGCAUCAAGUUUGGUACUUCAAAGGUGAAAUUUGACUACUUACAUACUUUUCGGCCUCUCAUCGAAUUGCUGUUCUAAUGUGUCCUUUUUGCAUAUACCUGUGUAGCUUUAAUGUAAUGUGUGGUUCUAGUCACAAAUUGGCCCAAAGGUGUCAACUUUUCACUACAUAAAUGAAUGUAACAUAAAAAUAUGUUGUCCGUAUUGUUUGAAUAAAGCUGGUACUCAUGUACGGUUGUGCAGUCAGCGCUUCAAUGCUAAGCUCCGUAUUCUUCCUGUUACAUCAAUCCACGGCUCUCUGUCCAACAUCACAAAAUUCAGUGAAUAAAAAAAAAAUUAAAACUCUCUCUUCUCAUGGGUUGACCCCUCAGGCUUUACAAGUGAAUAUAUCGUAAAGCUACAUAGUAGAGUCCUGUGUAGACUGAACGCAUCACUGUCAACAUCUAGACUUCUCAGUGCAGCUGCGUGGACACAAAUGAAGUGUUUAAAAAAAUAGAUGGAUAAAAUAGACCUGCAGGCUGGAAAAUAGACAGAGAUCAUGUCUUCACCCUGUCUAAUCCUCCUCAUUCCUGUUUCAUUCACAGUGACAAUCCUCCCGCAACUGGAUAUAACUAUCUGCUGAUUGAUUCAGUCACCAUAAGGUUGUUUGUGAAAGCAGCCCGAGGUCGUUUUCAUCACACUGUGUUAUUCUGACCUUAUUCUAAGAACUGCUGGCCUUGUAUUGCAUGUGGGCAUCAUUCCUCACCUGGCCGUCCUUCUCUCUGAACAAGUGUUCCUUGUUUACUUGUUAAGCCCCAGUAUAUCUAUAUAUAUCCUUAUAUAGACUUUUUUAUAUAUCCAUACGUCAUGUGAUUGCAAGGUAUUUUCCACUGAUUCCACUUUUGCUGCACAUCUACAGCUCCCAUGACAACAUGACGAUUAUUUAAACUCAUUGAAUAAGUUGCUAUAUUUGCUAAACAGUUACCAAACUCAAUGCUUUGCAUAGAAAUCACAUGCGAGUGGGAAGUGAUUAUAGAAGGUCAGGGUCCUUUUUUUUUCCAUUCUUCUUAUUUUCAAACAUGCUCAAAGACCUCUGUGUUGCACCUGGAUUUACACACAGAAGGAAGGAAAGCUUUAGAGGGAAAACUGUUAUUGAGUUCUCACCUUUUUCCAUCUGACUAGUUGCUGAAGAAGGUGAGAAUGAAUCUCUCUGAAACGCACCUCCAGCUUUUAGUCAAUCCAGCCGGCCCUUCAGGGGUCCUCACAAAUACUACUGUGUGUUUAUGGGCUGUUGUGUGUUCGCCAACACCAAUAAAUGAUAAAUAGACUAAGCUUUUCCAGACUCGCAACCUUCACCCAUUCACACACAUUCAUCCGCUGACAGCAGGGAGGACAACCAUUCAUUUACACAACAUUUAACCAACGGAAGGCCCAGUCGGACCAGUGGAGGCGGGGAACGAACUGCUGUGUCAUCUGAUGGGAGAACGACUCUGCUCCGCCAUUGAACCACAGUCACCAUAUCAUCUUCCACCCAUUGAGCAUAAGCUGUCCAUGAGGUUUUAGAAGUGCACAUCCAUUUCACAGUAACAACAGGAAUAAUGGAAAUGGUUCCUUUUGUUAUUCUGGCGCCAACACAGAGCGCAACUCUGUGUCUAUGCUUUUAUUAGUGUAUAACAAUCUGGAACAGACAGAACAAACACUGCUUACCUGAAGGGGCCUCGUCGGUCUCAAGACACGCUUGGACCGGAAGGACCGCGUGGAGGAGGAGGUGUGUUCAGCCGGUUCCAAUCGUCCAGUAAGUCCUACGCACGUAGGUGUUUAGCAGCUUGGUGCUUCACCCACACACUCUUGUUGCAACGUAGGAAAGUACACGUGUACAAGUACAAGGAACAUUUCCAUCACAUGGCUUUUGUUUACGGAUCGCAAGCCAUUCUGAACCCGACUUAAGACCCCUACAAAUAUAUUCACAAAGGAAGCAUAUAAUAAAUAAUGAGGUGUGGGGAAAGGUAACACAUGUUGAGUAACACGUGAUGAGACAGAUUUCCCCCUUUCUGUUGAGUAGCACACGCUGCCUUCAACACCUUACCAAGUCUUUAAACCAGGAUGCCAAGUCACCUGCAUGACGGAUAUCGCCACCGCCGUUCUGGAAAUGUCGCUUUUUAUUCUGCUGCUUGACACGAGACAGCCAGAAUACACAAAAAAAAAAACCUUGGCAUUUCUGCCUCGUCUAUGACAUUUACAGAAACACACACAAACACAGCGACUGUGUAAACCAUCAGAGGUUGGUUCCACGAAGGUUCUCCAAUGAACUAUAGCGGCGCCGCGUUUACACCCAUUUCAUUACUUCUGUUUAAUUUGCGCCUCCUCGCUCUGUUUUGUGGCGGGCGGCUGGUCGAUGGGAGAGAAACAACCGCCUGGACGCGCUUGUGUCUCUGAUCACUACAGGAAGUGCAGGAUGACGACCCAGAGGUCCAUCAGUCAUACAUGACAAAAGCUUCCCUUUAUAAAAAACAACUGGAAUGACUUUUAGAGCCGUGGGACCUCUCACAUCAGAUCAGAUUUCACAAUGAAAUAUAACAAUUAUUAUAAUUUAAGAGCAGAAAGUAAUUCAUCUAAUUGUCACAGCGGGCAAGUGAGCUGCUCACAUUUUUAUUAUUGUUCUAGUGGAAACACAAAGGAUAUUUCAGCCCUAACCUCAGUACUGCUGGCAGACAUUGAAUGCCAACGAUUGCUGCAACUCAGGUCCGACUUCACGCCAAGUUUACAUCGCUCAAGUUGGCAGUGACAGAAAAUCGGUUCAACAUGCACCCUGAUUACAUUUGCAUAGUUUGCUGUGAAAUAAUUUUCUUUAAAGGAGCUGUAAGGAAUCUCUGACCUAUUGCUAUUACUGCAGCUAUUGUGGUGCUGGUACAUUAAAAGAUACAACUUGUUUUUAUACCUUUUUGGUACAGUAAAAAAACACAUUCAAUUAUUUGAGCGAAGCUGCUCAUUUGGUGAGGGGAGUAACAUUAAAUUAUGGCUUCACUUCUAUU